rnacentral:rRNA from 1 species
AUUGAACGCUGGCGGCGUGCUUAACACAUGCAAGUCGAUCGGUAACAGGUGUAGCAAUACAUGCUGACGAGAGGCGGACGGGUGAGGAACGCUUGGGAAUCUGCCUAUCAGCGGGGGACAACCCGGGGAAACUCGGGCUAAUACCGCAUACGCUCUACGGAGGCAAGCCGGGGACCGCAAGGCCUGGCACUGAUAGAUGAGCCCAAGUCGGAUUAGCUAGUUGGCGGGGUAACGGCCCACCGAGGCGACGAUCCGUAGCUGGUCUGAGAGGACGAUCAGCCACACCGGAACUGAGACACGGUCCGGACUCCUACGGGAGGCAGCCGUGGGGAAUAUUGGACAAUGGGGGAAACCCUGAUCCAGCGACGCCGCGUGGGUGAAGAAGGCCUGCGGGUUGUAAAGCCCUUUCGGUAGGGAAGAAAUCUCUUGCUCUAACAGAGCAGGAGUUUGACUUAACCUACAUAAGAAGCACCGGCUAACUCUGUGCCAGCCGCCGCGGUAACAC